UACGUAGGGUGCGAGCGUUGUCCGGAAUUAUUGGGCGUAAAGAGCUUGUAGGCGGUUUGUCGCGUCUGCUGUGAAAAUCCGGGGCUCAACCCCGGACUUGCAGUGGGUACGGGCAGACUAGAGUGUGGUAGGGGAGACUGGAAUUCCUGGUGUAGCGGUGAAAUGCGCAGAUAUCGGGAAGAACACCCGUGGCGAAGGCGGCUCUCUGGAACGCAACUGACGCUGAGACGCGAAAAGCGUGGGGAGCAACAGG
rnacentral:rRNA from 1 species